rnacentral:rRNA from 1 species
AUACGGAGGGUCCAAGCGUUAUCCGGAUUCAUUGGGUUUAAAGGGUCCGCAGGCGGGAAAAUACGUCAGUGGUGAAAGCCUACAGCUCAACUGUAGAACUGCCAUUGAUACUGUUUUUCUUGAGUAUAGAUGAAGUGGGCGGAAUAUAUCAUGUAGCGGUGAAAUGCAUAGAUAUGAUAUAGAACACCGAUUGCGAAGGCAGCUCACUAAACUAUUACUGACGCUCAGGGACGAAAGCGUGGGGAGCGAACAGGAUUAGAUACCCUAGUAGUCC